AUUUAGCUCAGUGGUAGAGCGCUUACCUAGGAAGCGCAAGGCCCUGGGUUCGGUCCCCAGCUCCGAAAAAAAGAACCCCCCCCCAAAAAAAAUAAAAUACACAGGCAUCCCUGGAAACAGUCCACAGGGAGGAACUGAGGGCCUCUUCAGGGCUCUCCUGGGAACCUGGCUCCCAUCUCAGGGUGCUGACUCAAGCAAAUGGAAUGGCUCGAACUCCCCUAUGAUUAAACAAACACUGGGUUCCAAUAAUGUGCUGCAAGUUCCCUGGGACAUCCCAAGAGGUCUGGUGCUACCACACCCUCCAAGGGUAUCUCUCCUCCUUGAACAGACAGCGGAGCACAGCAGGGUCUGUGCGGGCCCGGCAGACCCAGCCCUCACACAAAUGUUCCCAGAAGAACAUGGCCUCUGAACUGAUGCUUCCUGUGGCCUAGGAGAUCCCAAAGGAGUCUUAACUGGUUGCCAGCUGCUAGCCACAUUCCCAGGCUUGUCAGCAAAUCUCUCCUUGGUGGAGGACCUCAAGGCACAGUGUCUGCCACAGGUUGGAAAAUGCAAAGUUAGCCUGCAGAAUGAAAGAUGGGGCACACCGAGAAGUGAAUCCAAAGAUAUCUACAUCCACCCCCUGGAGCAUGCAAUAGUGAUGUUAUUUGGAAAGAGACAUCUUUGCUGAUGUGUUUACACUGACGACCUUGAGAUAAGGAGAUAAUUGGGGCUCACUGGGGCGAGUCCUAAGGGCUGUGCUGAGUGUUCUCAGUGUGCAGAGGGAGCUGAGCCAGAAAGGGUGGCAUGAUGGGCAGAGUGGCACAAGCCCAUAACCCUAGCACGAGGCAGGGGGAUGUCUAGGCCAGCUUCAACUACAUAGUGAGACUCUGUUGAGUGAAGGAGGCAAUAUGAGUCAGAGUAGUCACAGGCCAGGCUAGCUGAGUGUCACUAAAGCUGGUGGGUGCUGGGAGCAGAGCUCACUGGGAAGAUCAUGAUCCUGCCAAGUCCUUGAUGUGGCCCUCUGGAACUGGUUUUGGACUUCUGACCUUCCAUAUCUAUAGGGGAAUCUAUUUAUGAUGGGACAUGCAAGAUAAGUUUGUGGUGACCUCAUUGUGACCGCCAUAGAUGAUAGAUACUAGGAAUAACAAUUGGGCAACAUGUAAGUGGGAGUCAGGCUUAUGUGGCACAAGCUUGUAAUCCUGGCAACUCGAGACUGAAAUGAGUUCAAGUCUCGAGUUCAAGUCCCACCCGGGCUACUAAGAGAGUUACAAUCAGCCUGUUCAAUUUAGUGAGAGCCCGUCUUAAAAUAAACAAAAGAAAGAAAAAGACAGACAGCUGGAGUACCUGCUUUCUCUUUUAACCUUUAUGACCUCGGCAGCAGAAGGAAGAUGGGAUGAGCAACUCUUGGGAAGAAUUUGUAAAAGCCGCACCCACCGUUGUGCAGUUGCUAUGGCUCUGAGGCCCACCACUUUCAAGAGUCAAACUGCAACAAACACGGGUCCCAUGCCAAGCACGAGAGAACGUAUUACCGGAGUGCCACUAAGAGACUAGACACCACAGUGACUGGAGAAUGGGGCAGACCGGUUGUCUGGCACAGAUCAGACAUGGACUCCAUGAAGGUUUAACACCUAAACCAGUGGCCAUUGCAGCUUCGGCUUCAUCUUGAGGGUUAUGACAAUUAGUCACAAAGUAAGUACUCUGGCUUCAAAAAAUAAAAUACAAAACAACAAAAUCAACAACCAAGAGAACAAUACUGGGGACAUUGCUCAGUGGUAGAAGUCCUAAGCUCAAUCUCUAGUAUGAAAAAAAAAGUUAUUGAGGAUAUAUAUAUAUAUAUAUAUAUAUAUAUAUAUAUAUACUGGGAAUAUAUAUAUAUAUGUAUUAUAUAUAUAAUAUAUAACAGAAUCUACCUGUGAGGUGUUGAGAGGACACAAAUUCCCAUUUGGGAAGUGGAGGUCAUCUGGAAGAGCACCCAAGCCUCCUGCAUCGCCAUAGGAGAAAGGAACCUGUUGCCCACAUUGUAACUCCACUGCCCACCUCAGACCAGAAGGCAGCAGAUGCUAUCCCUGCCCUGCCUCCCAGCUGCCCUAGGUGUGGCCCAUCAGAAAUUGAUCUUUGUUCUCUGUGCUUGUGACAUGGGCCAAGCUAAGUAACCUCAAGAUCCGGUCUCUUCCGCCUUUCUCUGUUGGUCAUGUGUGCCAGGCCCUGCACUCUCUCAGAAGCUCCAGUUACCUAGGAAAAGAGGGGUAACACAGUUCCCCUCUUCUUUCUCUUAUAAAAUAUCCCUAGAACCAAUUUCUGUUGCCUGGACAGAGCUCAGGAAAAUGUCUGACGAGGCUAGAUUUGAUAUCUAAUGGGUGUUCAUUGCUGCCCAGGUCUUCAGCUCUCCCUUGGUGAACUUACCUCAGGAAGGACACAUUUCUAAAAGCACACAGUGUUGGCUGUGUAGGGCACAUUAUACUUGAACCUAGUUUUCAGAGAUGUACUUUAACAGUGCUGAGUUUUACAUAGCAGUGAAAGAGAGUAGUGAUGUCCACCUUCUAGAAUAAGUGUCCUGAAGGCCACAAGGUGGGCCUGGCUUCUCAGAGUCCGAUCUUUCCAGAAGGAAGAGCCUGCACCUGCCUGCCCUUCAGCAGAGGUCGGCACAGGCAGGCCUGACACUGCAGUUCUCAUGAGGGGUUCCAUCUUCACUGUAGAGCCAGAAGAGUAGGGUCUGUACCUCCCCCAUGCUUCAAACACCACAGAGGUAGGAGGAAGGCAGACCUGUCAUAGAGGACAAGACCCUUUCCUACAGCGAUGGGAACUGGUGAGCAGACUGGGGCAGACUACCCACAGGCCAAAGUGCACCUCACCUGAUCCUACUGUCUUCCCAAAGUCUGAACUGCAGGUUUUUAGCUUCUAUUGUCUUCUGGGAAGAUGAUAGCCUGGGAAUUCUUUUUUUUUUUUUUUUUUUUUUUCGGAGCUGGGGACCGAACCCAGGGCCUUGCGCUUCCUAGGCAAGCGCUCUACCACUGAGCUAAAUCCCCAACCCUAGCCUGGGAAUUCUUAAAGUGAUCCACCUAGAAAGCUGUGGAUGCCUUACUAAGACAAUCGUGUGGGCCUUGCACUAGAGACAGGGGAACCUUGCAAAAUAACACCCUCAAACUCCCACACCCCUCACCCCUGGAGAAGAAAAACCGAGAGCAAGUCAGCUGUAUAGAACUGCAGAGGCCAAAUUCACAGGAUCUCCUCCUCCUCCUCAUCCUCCCCCUCCUCUUCCUCCUCCUCCCCCUCUUCCUCUUCCUCCUCCUCCCUCUCCCUCCUCCUCUUCCUCUUCCUCCUCCCCCCUCCUCUCCUCUUUCUCCUCCUCCUCCCCUUCUCCUCUUCCUCUUCUUCCUCGAAGACCAAGAUGCUCCUCGAGAUGAGCAAGUGGCUGCUGGGAGAGCUCCUGCAGAUAACAGUCAUGUUUCCUUUUCUCACUAAUGCCUUUAAAGUCAUACUACGUUGCUGGGCACAGUGGCCUACACCUUUAAUCCCAGCGCUUGUGGGAGGUAGAGGCAGGUAUAUCUUUGUGAGUUCGAGGCCAGCCUGGUCUACAUAGUGAAUUCCUGGACAGCUAGAGGCACAUAGUGAGAUCCUAUUUCAAAAAAGGAAAAAAAAGUCCUACUGUGCAUCAGCUAUAUUGGUGAUGUUGGUGAUAUGUCUUUCUGGGCUUAAGGAGCUAAUAUUUUUAUAAGGCAGAGUAACAGUAGUGCAGCUUACUAUAUGGUAUUAUUUACUUGUGUGUGGGCACACACAUGUAUACAUUAUCAAUCUUGUUAUCUAUCUCUUACUCAGCAAAAAUAUAUGCACAACCUCUAUGGAGUAAAAGAAAACCCUUGCUCUUCUGGGAGAUGUGAUGAUUAGUUCAUGUUUUGAGGGAUGAAUAGGAGUUUGUCUUGGGGAACUGAGUGGGCAAGGAAGCUAUGCCGAGCUCAGAGCCUGGCUGGUGCUCCUGAAUUCACCUCCUUAGGUAAACCUCAUACCCAUUAGGGUGGGUGAAGAAGAGCCUGGGCUCAGGAGAGUUGGGUGGGGAGGAUGGGAAAGGAUCUGAAAAGCUAUAACACUGCUUCACAACCUUCCUAACACUUCCACCCUUUAAUGCAGUUCCUCCCGUUGUAGUGACCCCCACCCCCAACCCUAAAGUUAUUUUGUUGCUACUUCUUUUUUCUUUUUUUUUUUUUGGUUCUUUUUUUCAGAGCUGGGGAUCGAACCCAGGGCCUUGCGCUUCCUAGGUAAGCGCUCUACCACUGAGCUAAAUCCCCAACCCCUUGUUGCUGCUUCUUUUUUUUUUUUUUUUUUUUUUUUUGGUUCUUUUUUUUUUUUCGGAGCUGGGGACUGAACC